rnacentral:tRNA from 1 species
GUGGUGGUUCAGUGGUAGUGCACUUGACUAGCAUGUAUGAGGCACUGGGUUCGAUUUUCAGCACCACA